UACAGAGGGUGCCAGCGUUAUUCGGAAUUAUUGGGCGUAAAGGGCGCGUAGGCGGCCAUGCGUGUCUUCCGUGAAAUCCCUCGGCUUAACUGAGGACGUGCGGAAGAAACUGCAAGGCUCGAGUCCGGGAGAGGAGGGUGGAAUUCCCAGUGUAGCGGUGAAAUGCGUAGAUAUUGGGAGGAACACCGGUGGCGAAGGCGGCCCUCUGGACCGGUACUGACGCUGAUGCGCGAAAGCGUGGGGAGCAAACGGG
rnacentral:rRNA from 1 species